rnacentral:lncRNA from 1 species
AUCUCCUCCUCCUUCUUUAAUUUCAAAAUCUCCCUCUCAUUUUCAAAACUUCUUUGCUUGUUGUUUUCAACUUAGACUUGUUUUAAUGAGUAGAAACCUUGGCCUUAUGCCAUUGAUUUUCAAACCAUUUUAUUAAUCAAAAUUGUAAAAAGACUUAAUCAUAUUAACUUUAUUUUUAAAAAGACAAAAAAAACUAACAACCUCAUCUAAUCAUUUUUGCCACUUUGUG